AUUGAACGCUGGCGGCAGGCUUAACACAUGCAAGUCGAGCGGAGCGAGGGUGCUUGCACCUUAGCUUAGCGGCGGACGGGUGAGUAAUGCUUAGGAAUCUGCCUAUUAGUGGGGGACAACAUUCCGAAAGGAAUGCUAAUACCGCAUACGCCCUACGGGGGAAAGCAGGGGAUCUUCGGACCUUGCGCUAAUAGAUGAGCCUAAGUCGGAUUAGCUAGUUGGUGGGGUAAAGGCCUACCAAGGCGACGAUCUGUAGCGGGUCUGAGAGGAUGAUCCGCCACACUGGGACUGAGACACGGCCCAGACUCCUACGGGAGGCAGCAGUGGGGAAUAUUGGACAAUGGGCGGAAGCCUGAUCCAGCCAUGCCGCGUGUGUGAAGAAGGCCUUUUGGUUGUAAAGCACUUUAAGCGAGGAGGAGGCUCUUAAGGUUAAUACCCUUGAUGAGUGGACGUUACUCGCAGAAUAAGCACCGGCUAACUCUGUGCCAGCCGCCGCUUAAAAC
rnacentral:rRNA from 1 species